UUAGACAAUACUGAUGCCUGGGC
rnacentral:miRNA from 1 species